ACGAAUUGGGAAGAAACACUUCUGAAAGCCUGGGGUUGGCUCGGUUUCUCCACGGGAUAAAGGACCCGUCCACCUUUCUUCUCUCCAGAACUGCCGCUUGUUUAUUGGGUCAGCUUGCUGCAUUGGAAGUUGUUCUCUAAUGGCCCAGCUCUGUAUUUGCUACCUCUGAGGCCGGAGGAAUGGAGCUGCAACAUACCAAGAAAGUUUGGGGAUGCCUGAGGUCCUAAAAACUGGUCUGAAACCACUGCUGCGGUCCCUAGGGCGAGGGACUGCAAAAGCUCUUCACACGGCUACUGAUUCACCUCGACAUGGGACAAAACUGAAGGUUGGCACGUUUUCCAGUUACCUGAAUACGGAAGUCAUCUGAGGUGCCGGCUCUCCUCCUGACCUCACGUGGCUAGUUUCUACUACGGAGUGCAAGAUCUCGGUGGCCAGCUUCUUAACUAGGAGCACCAAACAUUUCAACACAGAAGGAAGGAGGAACUCAACAUCAUUCCGCUCCACACCCGUCUUCCACAAGAGUUCAAGAGUGAAGGCCAGCACGGAGGCCAAGCGAGGAGGCGGGGAAGAGCCUUUAAA